GACAGAGGCCCCAAGCGUUAGGCGGAAUCACUGGGCUUAAAGCGUGUGUAGGCGGAUCGUUAAGUGUCUUGUGAAAUCCCACGGCUCACCCGUGGAACUGCUGGGCAUACUGGCGAUCUUGGGCCAACUAGGGGCAGUCGGAACAAGCGGUGGAGCGGUGAAAUGCGUAGAUAUCAGGAGGAACACCGAUGGCGAAGGCAGGUCUCUGGGCAUUAACUGACGCUGAGGAGCGAAAGCAUGGGGAGCGAACAGG
rnacentral:rRNA from 1 species